AGCUCGUGUCGUGAAAUGUUGGGUUAAGUCCGUAACGGGCGCAACCUGUCCUUAGUUACCAGCACGUUAUGGUGGCACUCUAAGGAGACUGCCGGUGGACAAACCGGAGGAAGGUGGGGAUGACGUCAAGUCAUCAUGGCCCUUACGGCCUGGGCUACACACGUGCUACAAUGGUCGGGUACAAAGGGGUUGCCAAGCCGCGAGGUGGAGCUAAUCCCAUAAAAACCGAUCGUAGUCCGGAUCGCAGUCUGCAACUCGACUGCGUGAAGUCGGAAUCGCUAGUAAUCGUGAAUCAGAAUGUCACGGUGAAUACGUUCCCGGGCCUU
rnacentral:rRNA from 1 species